AAGGGGCUUCGGCCCUGAGUAGAGUGGCGAACGGGUGAGUAACACGUGGGUGAUCUACCUCUGAGUGGGGGAUAACGUUCCGAAAGGAACGCUAAUACCGCAUGACGUUCCGGGUUUGAAGACCGGGAAACCAAAGUCGGGGCCCUUAGGGCAACUUAAGGCCUGGCGCUUGGAGAGGAGCCCGCGCCUGAUUAGCUAGUUGGUGAGGUAACGGCUCACCAAGGCAACGAUCAGUAGCCGGCCUGAGAGGGCGGACGGCCACACUGGGACUGAGACACGGCCCAGACUCCUACGGGAGGCAGCAGUGGGGAAUUGUUCGCAAUGGGCGCAAGCCUGACGACGCAACGCCGCGUGGAGGAUGAAGAUCUUCGGG
rnacentral:rRNA from 1 species